UUCGUGAGAGAGCGUCUUGUCGGUGCGUUUCUUGUCCUCCACCCCUUAUGCCUCCACGCGUCCCGUCCGUCGCAGCUCGUUCCGCUGCGUGCUCGUCACUGUGGACGGCUCGCCUCGGUGCGACGUGGUACAACCGCCACACGCACACCGCUGUUCUGCGUGUCCGCGACAACAGCGGCUUGCGCACCUGCAGCACCUCGGCAGUGGCCACUCAGCGCCGCUUUCUCGGCCCUCGCCAGUACUCACCGAAGGGCUACCGUGAGGCUGCCGGGCGUGCACCAAUGACGUUCGAGUUUGGCGAGGAGUGCAACAACCUCGCCAGGGCUGCGCAUCAGACGAAGAACUACGGCGACGCCAUCAGCCUGUACGAUAGGGCGCUGGCAAUGCGCCGCGAGAAGUACGGGCCAAUCCACAAGAAGUGCGCAGCGACGCUGCACAACAUCGGCCGUGUUUUUAUCGACAUGAAGGAGUAUGGCGCCGCCGAGAACGCCUUCACAGAGGCGGCCGCCAUCUACGAGCAAGUGGAGGGGGACAAGUCACUCGAGUACGCGGAGUCGCUGGAGCUGCUCGCGCUCUGCUACACGCACCUCAAGUUCCUUGAUGAGGCGGAAAAGGCCUUCAAGGAUAGCAUUCGUAUCUUUCGGGAUCAGUGCUACAACUACGGCAACAACUCGUGGCUGCCAGACGAUAAGACACCGCCGGCGGAGCCGAACAAGCACCCGCUCUCGUCGGCAGCUCACGCUCUAGCCGACUGCGCGGCGCUCUUCCUGUUCCGCCGCCAGGAGCACCAAGCUGUCGCCUUCCUCGAGGAGGCGCUUGAGAUACGCCGCUUCCUGUACAGCCGCCACGUCAAGUUCCGCCCAAUGAUUGCGCAGACGCUCAACAAGCUCUGUGAACUCAAGAAGUCACUCGACGACGCCGUCGGCGCGGAGAUGUGCAUCAACGAAUGCUUGGAGAUCUGCAUCGAGACACUCGGGCGGGAUCACCCGGCGACGGCGCAGGCGACGAGCAGCAAGGCAGGACUGCUCGCCGCCAAGAAGCAGUUCCGCGACGCCUUACGGCUCUACGAGGAGAGUACGCGCACGUACGCCGUGGCGCUCGGCAAGGACGCGCCGCUGUUUGGGCAGGAGCUGAUGAAACUCGGCCGCUGCCAGGAGCUAUGCAACGACGUCGUCAACGCUGAAAAAACGUUCCGGCGCGGCGUUGAGAUCAUCAAGAACGGGUUUGGUCCGAACAGCCUCCAGCUGGCGGAGGCGAACACUUUCUAUGGAUCGUUACUGGCCCGAAGGCUCGAUAUCGACCAAGCCGUCGGCAUGUUCCGCGACGCCAUCCGGAUUCGCAAGAGUGCGGACAAGCAUGAUCCGCAGUUGGCGUACCUAUACCAGAAGAUCGGGGAUGCCUACGCGAUGCGGCGGGAGCCACACGCGGAGGCAUACUUCCUCCUUGCUGUGGAUGCCUUUAAGCAGAACGCCACGAUUGAGCCGCUGCAGCGCACAUACAUGACGGACGUUUUGGAUGACCUGGGGCUCUUCUACCUUGACUUUCAGCACUACGAAAAGGCGGAGAAGUGCUUCAAGGAGGCUCUUGACACCCGCAUCGAGAUGCUCGGCGAGAAUCACGCCACGGUGGCGUACUCGUACAGCAACUUCGCGCUCCUGUACCUGCAGCGGCAGGACUACGCCAACUGCGAGAAAAUGGCGGAGGCGGCGCUGAACAUGUACGGCAAGACCGCCCGCUCCAACGUGCUUGCUCAGGCCGACGUGCACACGACGCUGGGUCAGUGCUACCACCAGCAGAGCCAGUUUGUCAAGGCCCUGGAGAUGCACGAGAAGGCGCUCAACGUACGUCGCACGCGCGGCGACACGACAGAGACGGCCGUGGCGGAGUCGCUGAAUCAAAUCGCGCGCGUCUAUGUCACGAUGAAGCGCUACGGCAAGGCGUACCGCCACGUCAAGGAGGCCCGGCGGCUUGUUUGGCAGUUCAACGUGGAAAUCACGCAGCCGCUGCGCAACGAAAUCGUCAAGACGGAGCAGAUGAUUCCACCUAUGGAAGAGUGGACGAACGAGGAGCGGGCUGAGGCACAGGUGAUGAUCGGGGACGGUAGCAGCGCUGCCGCCGCCAGCGCGGCCCCGACCGCCACCGGCGCCUGAACAAGUGGGGUUCGACGGAGGUGGUGUCCAACAAGGCGCGCAAGGUGGUGUCUCUCCAUUUCGCUCGAAAACGGUGGGAAGAGACAAAUAGGGGGAUGGAGGAUGUAUUCCUCCCUGACUUCCUUAUCCCCCCCCCCUCUUUCACGUGUGUGUGUGUGCUCUCUCUCUCUCCGCGCUCUGACACCGUCGCGCACGCGCACGCGCACACAUCUGUGCUGAGGAAGCGCGAAAGGACAAAGCCAAAGAAGCAGUGGCGUUGUCUCUUCUGCAGGACAGCGCCUUCCCACAAGGAGAUGAUGUCAGCAUGAGCAGGGAGGAGUGGCGUGUGUUUGUGUGUGUGUGUGUGCAAGAAAGCAAAAGAGUCCAUGCAAUCUCGGAUGCCUCUGCUCAUGCCUUC
rnacentral:misc_RNA from 1 species